GACGAACGCUGGCGGCGUGCCUAAUACAUGCAAGUUGAGCGAUGAAGAUUGGUGCUUGCACCAAUUUGCAGAGCAGCGAACGGGUGAGUAACGCGUGGGGAAUCUGCCUUUGAGCGGGGGACAACAUUUGGAAACGAAUGCUAAUACCGCAUAACAACUUUAAACAUAAGUUUUAAGUUUGAAAGAUGCAAUUGCAUCACUCAAAGAUGAUCCCGCGUUGUAUUAGCUAGUUGGUGAGGUAAAGGCUCACCAAGGCGAUGAUACAUAGCCGACCUGAGAGGGUGAUCGGCCACAUUGGGACUGAGACACGGCCCAAACUCCUACGGGAGGCAGCAGUAGGGAAUCUUCGGCAAUGGACGAAAGUCUGACCGAGCAACGCCGCGUGAGUGAAGAAGGUUUUCGGAUCGGAAAACUCUGUUGGUAGAGAAGAACGUUGGUGAGAGUGGAAAGCUCACCAAGUGACGGUAACUACCCAGAAAGGGACGGCUAACUACGUG
rnacentral:rRNA from 1 species